GUUUGAUCAAAGUGUUUGUGGCUUGCGAAUUUUCUGCGAUUUUCACGAGAAUAUCAUCCAUUCCAAGAAAACACAUUUUGUGGAGGCAUUUGAGCAACUCAAGGAAAACCUCAGUCUCAGGCAGAAUAAGUGUGAAAUUGUGGCUCCCAUAUUGGGUACCUGAAACUCCUGUGGAGCUUGAGCUUGGACUUCAAUUUCAAUUGUGCAAUCAUCCAGCGUCUGUGAUCUCUGCGCUGAAAAGUCUUCUUGGUGUUCCUCUUGAAUUUUCACCAAUUUUCAGGAAAGUCAUCAAGUCUGGAAAAGAAGGUGGAAGCAACUUCCAGAGAGGGUCUUUCGGAUACUUCCAGAAACUCUUGGGCGCAGUCAUUUCAACUUCCCGGAUAGCGCCCCACAGAAAAUCAA